rnacentral:rRNA from 1 species
UACGGAGGGUGCAAGCGUUAUCCGGAUUUACUGGGUUUAAAGGGUGCGUAGGUGGAUAAUUAAGUCAGUGGUGAAAUCUUCAGGCUUAACCUGGAAACUGCCAUUGAUACUAUUUAUCUUGAAUACUUUGGAGGUAAGCGGAAUAUGUCAUGUAGCGGUGAAAUGCGUAGAUAUUGGGAAGAACACCAGUGGCGAAAGCGCACUUCUGGGUUGUUACUGACGCUGAGGUACGAAAGCGUGGGGAGCAAACGGG